GUAGGUGGCAAGCGUUAUCCGGAAUUAUUGGGCGUAAAGCGCGCGCAGGCGGUUUCUUAAGUCUGAUGUGAAAGCCCACGGCUCAACCGUGGAGGGUCAUUGGAAACUGGGGAACUUGAGUGCAGAAGAGAAAAGCGGAAUUCCACGUGUAGCGGUGAAAUGCGUAGAGAUGUGGAGGAACACCAGUGGCGAAGGCGGCUUUUUUGGUCUGUAACUGACGCUGAGGCGCGAAAGCGUGGGGAGCAAACAGGGAUUAGAUACCCUGGUAGUCCACGCCGUAAACGAUGAGUGCUAAGUGUUAGAGGGUUUCCGCCCCUUUAGUGCUGCAGCUAACGCAUUAAGCACUCCGCCUGGGGAGUACGGUCGCAAGACUG
rnacentral:rRNA from 1 species